rnacentral:rRNA from 1 species
UCCAGACUCCUACGGGAGGCAGCAGUCGGGAAUAUUGCGCAAUGGAGGAAACUCUGACGCAGUGACGCCGCGUAUAGGAAGAAGGUUUUCGGAUUGUAAACUAUUGUCGUUAGGGAAGAUACAAGACAGUACCUAAGGAGGAAGCCCCGGCUAACUAUGUGCCAGCAGCCGCGGUAAUACAUAGGGGGCAAGCGUUAUCCGGAUUUACUGGGUGUAAAGGGAGCGUAGACGGCAGAGCAAGUCUGAAGUGAAAGCCCGCGGCCCAACUGCGGGACUGCUUUGGAAACUGCCCGGCUAGAGUGCUGGAGAGGUAAGCGGAAUUCCUAGUGUAGCGGUGAAAUGCGUAGAUAUUAGGAGGAACACCAGUGGCGAAGGCGGCUUACUGGACAGUAACUGACGUUGAGGCUCGAAAGCGUGGGGAGCAAACAGGAUUAGAUACCCCGGUAA